rnacentral:rRNA from 1 species
AGAGUUUGAUCAUGGCUCAGAAUCAACGCUGGCGGCGUGCCUAACACAUGCAAGUCGCACGAGAAAGGGUAGCAAUACCUGAGUACAGUGGCGCACGGGUGAGUAACACGUGAAUUAUCUACCUUCGAGUGGGGAAUAACUGGGAGAAAUCUCAGCUAAUACCGCAUAACACUUACGAGUCAAAGCAGCAAUGCGCUUGAAGAGGAGUUCGCGGCAGAUUAGUUAGUUGGCGGGGUAAUGGCCCACCAAGACGAUGAUCUGUAUCCGGCCUGAGAGGGCGCACGGACACACUGGAACUGAAACACGGUCCAGACUCCUACGGGAGGCAGCAGUGGGGAAUUUUGCGCAAUGGGGGAAACCCUGACGCAGCAACGCCGCGUGGAGGAUGAAAUCCCUUGGGAUGUAAACUCCUUUCGAUCGGGACGAUUAUGACGGUACCGGAAGAAGAAGCCCCGGCUAACUUCGUGCCAGCAGCCGCGGUAAUACGAGGGGGGCAAGCGUUGUUCGGAAUUAUUGGGCGUAAAGGGCGCGUAGGCGGUUUGACAAGUCUGAUGUGAAAUCUCUGGGCUCAACCCCAGAGUCUGCAUUAGAAACUGUCGGGCUUGAGUAUGGGAGAGGUGAGUGGAAUUUCCGGUGUAGCGGUGAAAUGCGUAGAUAUCGGAAGGAACACCUGUGGCGAAAGCGGCUCACUGGACCAUAACUGACGCUGAGGCGCGAAAGCUAGGGGAGCAAACAGGAUUAGAUACCCUAGUAGUCC